rnacentral:rRNA from 1 species
CCUACGGGUAGCUGCAGUGAGGAAUAUUGGUCAAUGGACGCAAGUCUGAACCAGCCAUGUAGCGUGAAGGAUGACUGCCCUAUGGGUUGUAAACUUCUUUUGUAUGGGAAUAAAAUGUUCCACGUGUGUGAUUUUGUAAGUACCAUACGAAUAAGGAUCGGCUAACUCCGUGCCAGCAGCCGCGGUAAUACGGAGGAUCCGAGCGUUAUCCGGAUUUAUUGGGUUUAAAGGGUGCGUAGGUGGAUUGUUAAGUUAGUGGUGAAAGUCUGGGGCUCAACCGUAAAAUUGCAGUUGAUACUGGCAGUCUUGAGUACAGUAGAGGUGGGCGGAAUGCGUGGUGUAGCGGUGAAAUGCUUAGAUAUCACGAAGAACACCGAUUGCGAAGGCAGUUCACUGGACUGCAACUGACACUGAGGCUCGAAAGUGUGGGGAUCAAACAGGAUUAGAUACCCCUGUAGUC